rnacentral:rRNA from 1 species
GACGAACGCUGGCGGCGUGCUUAACACAUGCAAGUCGAACGGAAAGGCCCUGCUUUUGUGGGGUGCUCGAGUGGCGAACGGGUGAGUAACACGUGAGUAACCUGCCCUUGACUUUGGGAUAACUUCAGGAAACUGGGGCUAAUACCGGAUAGGAGCUCCUGCUGCAUGGUGGGGGUUGGAAAGUUUCGGCGGUUGGGGAUGGACUCGCGGCUUAUCAGCUUGUUGGUGGGGUAGUGGCUUACCAAGGCUUUGACGGGUAGCCGGCCUGAGAGGGUGACCGGCCACAUUGGGACUGAGAUACGGCCCAGACUCCUACGGGAGGCAGCAGUGGGGAAUAUUGCACAAUGGGCGGAAGCCUGAUGCAGCAACGCCGCGUGCGGGAUGACGGCCUUCGGGGUGGAAACCGCUUUCGCCUGGGACGAAGCGUGAGUGACGGUAAUGGGUAAAGAAGCAACGGCUAACUACGUG